CACAUGCAAGUCAACUUGAAUUUGGGUUUUUAACUUAGAUUUGGGUGGCGGACGGGUGAGUAACGCGUAAAGAACUUGCCUCACAGCUAGGGACAACAUUUGGAAACGAAUGCUAAUACCUGAUAUUAUGAUUUUAAGGCAUCUUAGAAUUAUGAAAGCUAUACGCGCUGUGAGAGAGCUUUGCGUCCCAUUAGCUAGUUGGAGAGGUAACGGCUCACCAAGGCGAUGAUGGGUAGCCGGCCUGAGAGGGUGAACGGCCACAAGGGGACUGAGACACGGCCCUUACUCCUACGGGAGGCAGCAGUGGGGAAUAUUGGACAAUGGACCAAGAGUCUGAUCCAGCAAUUCUGUGUGCACGAUGACGUUUUUCGGAAUGUAAAGUGGCUUUCAGUUGGGAAGAAAAAAAUGACGGGACCCACAGAAAGAAGUGACGGGUUAAAUACGUGCCCGCAGCCGCGGUAAUACGUAUGUCACGAACGUUAUCCGGAUUUAUUGGGGCGUAAAGCGCGUCUAGGUGGUUAUGUAAGUCUGAUGUGAAAAUGCAGGGCUCAACUCUGUAUUGCGUUGGAAACUGUGUAACUAGAGUACUGGAGAGGUAAGCGGAACUACAAGUGCAGAGGUGAAAUUCGUAGAUAUUUGUAGGAAUGCCGAUGGGGAAGCCAGCUUACUGGACAGAUACUGACGCUGAAGCGCGAAAGCGUGGGUAGCAAACAGGAUUAGAUACCCUGGUAGUCCACGCCGUAAACGAUGAUUACUAGGUGUUGGGGGUCGAACCUCAGCGCCCAAGCAAACGCGAUAAGUAUCCGCCUGGGGAGUACGUACGCAAGU
rnacentral:rRNA from 1 species